rnacentral:scRNA from 1 species
GCGACGUUCCCCCGGCUCUGGGGGAACAGAAC